rnacentral:rRNA from 1 species
GAUGAACGCUGGCGGCGUGCUUAACACAUGCAAGUCGAGCGGGCAAUUUAUCUAGCACUGAUUACUUCAAAUGGAAAUCAUAAGUGUAAUCAUGAAUUUCUACCUUUAAUAAAGAAAAAGAAAUUCAUGUACGCAAAUAGUGAUAACACAUUUUAGUGGAGUGAUGAGUGCUGGAUAAAUUGCUAGCGGCGGACGGGUGCGUAACACGUGGGUAACCUGCCCCUAUCACUGGGAUAACACACUGAAAAGUGUGCUAAUACCAGAUAAUAUAAGCUUUUGGCAUCAUUAGCUUAUCAAAGAAUUUCGGAUAGGGAUGGGCCCGCGUCUGAUUAGCUAGUUGGUGAGGUAACGGCUCACCAAGGCAACGAUCAGUAGCCGACCUGAGAGGGUGAUCGGCCACACUGGAACUGAGACACGGUCCAGACUCCUACGGGAGGCAGCAGUGGGGAAUAUUGCACAAU